rnacentral:rRNA from 1 species
GAUACUAAUCGAUCGAGGGCUUAACCAU